GACGAACGCUGGCGGCGUGCUUAACACAUGCAAGUCGAACGGAGUGGCGAACGGGUGAGUAACACGUGGGUGAUCUGCCUUGCACUUCGGGAUAAGCUUGGGAAACUGGGUCUAAUACCGGAUAGUGCAAGAUGAGCUCGCGGCCUAUCAGCUUGUUGGUGGGGUAAUGGCCUACCAAGGCGUCGACGGGUAGCCGGCCUGGGAGGGUGUACGGCAAAAUGGGGACUGGGAUCCGGCCCAGAUUCCUACGGGGGGAAGAGGGGGGGAUAAUUGCAAAAUGGGCGGAGGCCUGAUGCGGCAAGGCGGGGGGGGGAUGAAGGCCUUCGGGUUGUAAACUCCUUUCGACAGGGACGCGGUACCUGUAUAAGAAGCACCGGCUAACUACGUGCCAGCAGCCGCGGUAAUAC
rnacentral:rRNA from 1 species